CCUCAGAUCAGACGAGACUACCCGCUGAAUUUAAGCAUAUCAGUAAGCGGAGGAAAAGAAACUAACAAGGAUUCCCUCAGUAACGGCGAGUGAAGCGGGAAGAGCCCAGCACCGAAUCCCCUGGUUUUGCGCUAGCGGGAAUUGUGGUGUUUGGGACGCCUAUCGGCGCUGUGUCCCUGUGCCCAAGUCCUUCUGAUCGGGGCCUUUCCCAUAGUGGGUGUCAGGCCUUUAGCGGCACGGGACUAGGCGUCCUUGAGCGUCCUUGGAGUCGGGUUGUUUGGGAAUGCAGCCCUAAGCGGGUGGU
rnacentral:rRNA from 1 species